rnacentral:rRNA from 1 species
UACGGAGGGUGCGAGCGUUGUCCGGAAUCACUGGGCGUAAAGCGCACGUAGGCGGUUCGUUAAGUCGGAUGUGAAAGCCCUCGGCUCAACUGAGGAAGUGCACCCGAAACUGGCGAGCUUGAGUACGAAAGAGGAUCGCGGAAUUCCCGGUGUAGAGGUGAAAUUCGUAGAUAUCGGGAGGAACACCGGUGGCGAAGGCGGCGAUCUGGGUCGAUACUGACGCUGAGGAGCGAAAGCGUGGGGAGCGAACAGG